rnacentral:rRNA from 1 species
UACGUAGGGUCCGAGCGUUGUCCGGAGUUACUGGGCGUAAAGCGCGCGCAGGCGGCGCGGUAAGCAUGGCGUGAAAGCCCCCGGCUCAACCGGGGGAGGGUCGUCGUGGACUGCCGCGCUUGAGGGCGGUAGGGGCUGGUGGAAUUCCCGGUGUAGUGGUGAAAUGCGUAGAGAUCGGGAGGAACACCCGUGGCGAAGGCGGCCAGCUGGGCCGUCCCUGACGCUGAGGCGCGAAGGCGUGGGGAGCGAACGGG